UCAAGAGCAAAUUUUCAAUACGUCCUAAGUAACAAAAUAAACAAAAAUGAGUUUUUUGCAUAUUCUAAUACCUACUGAACUGUUUAAUACUAUGUAGAAAGAACAUAAGUCAAAACUUGUUAAAAACUUUUGAAACUUAAAAAAAAUAAACUGACUUAAGUAACAAAUUGAGCAGUUUUCGUUUGUGUCGCUUUGUCGGUACAAUGACUUAUGUAACGCACGUAACUCAGCACUGACGUAACUGCGCUGUCAAAACGACGUAAGCAACAAAUUCAUGUAAACAGAAAUCGAAAGUGUUUACGGCAAAACACUUUUCUCCACUUCUAGAGGAAUUCUACAAGCUGGAUUUAAACUAGAAGAAUUAAACUACAAGGAAAGACUUUCCUCGGAGCCAUCGUCGACUUCAGCACAAUCAACGUCGUAUUAUCUCACCUCGAUUUCAAAUUCGUUACGCUUCUAUCUAUCUCAUUUAUCCGGCAUCAGCAACUCGAUCGAUCCGGUAACAGCAACGUUGGCAAGGAACAAAAAAGGGCUUCACAAAAGGCAGCAGCUCUUCUUCAAGUUCCUUAUCGCCGUCAUCAGCUAGAAAAGCAGCUUCAGUUGGAACGGUGAUUUUGGUGGACUGCCUGCACCAUCCGACAGAACUGUGCUGUCGAAACGGCCACCGAGCGGGCAUUUGUGAACCGAGAAUGUGAUUGAGCAUUCCAAAAGGAUGACGGUGUGGAGGAGUCAAACUUCUGUACAGCCACAGAUACCUAGCGCUUUGGCCAGCCCAUGUUCAAAGACAAAUGGCUCAGUUGUUCGGUUAAGGCCUGCGCAGUACGAUCCCGAUCGUGGUGUUUCUGGCACUUAGUACCUACCCUGGAAGUCAUUGCACCGGCAUAGAUGACACAUGAUUUGGCCGGCGAGGUAGAAAAUUUGAUUCGCUCGCACAGUACCGCAGCGCAUUCCAGAUCAUCAAAACGGUUCCGGAGCUGAUGGAAAUCGUUCUGAUUGCGUCCCGAUUCUGUCGAACGAGAUGAAUCACGGUAUUUUUAUCGCCGGCAGCACCAUCAUCACGGAAAAAAGAGCCAGGACAUAUUAAACCACUUCUAAAAUAUUGUUCCAAACUGAUCUGAAGUCGAGUCCUACGGGUCGGCAUUUUUAAUCUACUCCGAUGUUUUUACGAGACCAGGAAGCACAAUUACGUCAUUAAACUGCUUUGUGAGUCUGUUGGGCACACUAAACAAAGCCAGCAAGUGCAAGAUACAGCAGGUAUUAUCAGAGGCGUAGCGUGGUUUUACGAAGCUCUCCGCAAGCACUCAGAUUAGCGUCUCAUCUAGGGGCAAGACACUGUGCAAACAAGAGUAACUCUGAGAAAUUCUGAGUAACUCUUUUCACCAAUGAUCGACGAAAUUUGUUGAAAAACACCCCUAAAACUGCAAGAAAGGCGAGAUAUCGGGCAA